CAUCAAAACUGUGACUUUUUGACUAAUUAUCAGAUGAACUGAAGAGAGGAUAACAUUGUUGAGAUUCACUUUAGUGGGCUAGAAGAUCAAGGGGGUAUAAAUACUUCAAAGUUCUGGGAAAAAAAUAAUUUGAAGAUGAGGGGAAAAAAAACAGAAAAAUUUGAGAAUAGAUCCAGGAGAACCUAAUAACAAAACCUACAUAACUUAAAUAAACCUACAUAACAAGAAGGGGGAAAAAGUGAGGAAAUGUAAU
rnacentral:lncRNA from 1 species